rnacentral:rRNA from 1 species
ACGGAGGGCGCAAGCGUUACUCGGAAUCACUGGGCGUAAAGAGCGUGUAGGCUGGUAGGAAAGUUGGAAGUGAAAUCCUAUGGCUCAACCAUAGAACUGCUUCCAAAACUUCUUACCUAGAAUAUGGGAGAGGUAGAUGGAAUUUCUGGUGUAGGGGUAAAAUCCGUAGAUAUCAGAAGGAAUACCAAUUGCGAAGGCGAUCUACUGGAACAUUAUUGACGCUGAGACGCGAAAGCGUGGGGAGCAAACAGG